rnacentral:rRNA from 1 species
UCUACGGGAGGCAGCAGUGGGGAAUAUUGGGCAAUGGGCGCAAGCCUGAACCAGCCAAGUAGCGUGAAGGAUGACUGCCCUACGGGUUGUAAACUUCUUUUAUAAAGGAAUAAAGUGAGGCACGUGUGCCUUUUUGUAUGUACUUUAUGAAUAAGGAUUGGCUAACUCCGUGCCAGCAGCCGCGGUAAUACGGAGGAUCCGAGCGUUAUCCGUCUUUAUUGGGUUUAAAGGGAGCGUAGAUGGGUUGUUAAGUAAGUUGUGAACGUUUGAGGCUCAACCGUAAAAUUGCAAUUGAUACUGGCAGUCUUGAGUACAGGUGAGGUAGGCGGAAUUCGUGGUGUAGCGGUGAAAUGCUUAGAUAUCACGAAGAACUCCGAUUGCGAAGGCAGCUUACUAAACUGCCACUGACAUUGAUGCUCGAAAGUGUGGGUAUCAAACAGGAUUAGAUACCCCUGUAGUC